GACGAACGCUGGCGGCGUGCUUAACACAUGCAAGUCGAACGGAAAGGCCCUGCUUUUGUGGGGUGCUCGAGUGGCGAACGGGUGAGUAACACGUGAGUAACCUGCCCUUGACUUUGGGAUAACUUCAGGAAACUGGGGCUAAUACCGGAUAGGAGCUCCUGCUGCAUGGUGGGGGUUGGAAAGUUUCGGCGGUUGGGGAUGGACUCGCGGCUUAGCAGCUUGUUGGUGGGGUAGUGGCUUACCAAGGCUUUGACGGGUAGCCGGCCUGAGAGGGUGACCGGCCACAUUGGGACUGAGAUACGGCCCAGACUCCUACGGGAGGCAGCGGUGGGGAAUAUUGCACAAUGGGCGGAAGCCUGAUGCAGCAACGCCGCGUGCGGGAUGACGGCCUUCGGGUUGUAAACCGCUUUCGCCUGUGACGAAGCGUGAGUGACGGUAAUGGGUAAAGAAGCACCGGCUAACUACGUG
rnacentral:rRNA from 1 species